rnacentral:misc_RNA from 1 species
GUUUUUAUUCCAUGAUUAGUUUUUGGCUAAGAUAUAUUUAUCAACUAGAUUCAUUUGUAAUCAAGCGAACCUAUUAAUUACGGUAGUAAUUUGUUGAACCUCAUUUUUUGGGACUGAACAGAAGAUCAUUGAUGUAUGGUUUUCUCAUUUGCACUGUAAAGGAUAUGAUUUUUUGCUUUUAAAUGCUGUAAAAUCUUAAAUGCAAUAAGCUGAAUUUCUCUUGCAAAAUAUGGAGAAUAUUGUUGGUAUUACUCGAUACAAUGACUGCAUAUUUUUUUUUUUAUUCUGAAACUGACCAUAUGAUGGGUAAAACUGAUUCUUUUUAACUAACUACCUAUUUAUUUCAAAUCUAACCAAAUAAACUGUUGAAAACUACUCAUGUCCAUUUCUUCAUUUAUUAGAUCAUUUACCAGCCCUUUUAUUCUUUAGUAAUUCUUUUGAAAGUUGAAACACAAACUAAAAAAACCUGUUAAAUUCCUUAUCCUUAUAUUUUAUUUUCUUUUCCAAUGUACUUUUGUUGCUGUAAGCUUGUUCCAAUUAGGCUAUACAUCAUUACACAUUCAGUAUGUGCUUGGAGAUUUACAUGUUGCAUUUGACUUGUUCUGCAAUAUGUGCUGCAAAUGCAUAGUCAUAUUUCCUCCCUCCCUCAAAACAAGUAAAAAACCAACGUGCACACACAAGUAAUGGUAACGCAAAAGAGUUUCUUUUUGCCUAAACAAAGAAGGGUAUUGAAAGCUUUGUACAUGCUGUAUAUUUUUUUCAUUGUUUCCUCUUAAUUUCUCUAUGUAUUAAAAGUGAUCUUCUGCCUUUCUUUUUAAUGAGCAGGUUG